rnacentral:rRNA from 1 species
GACGAACGCUGGCGGCGUGCCUAAUACAUGCAAGUAGAACGCUGAAGGAGGAGCUUGCUCUUCUGGAUGAGUUGCGAACGGGUGAGUAACGCGUAGGUAACCUGCCUGGUAGCGGGGGAUAACUAUUGGAAACGAUAGCUAAUACCGCAUAACAGUAGAUGUUGCAUGACAUUUGCUUAAAAGGUGCAAUUGCCCCACUACCAGAUGGACCUGCGUUGUAUUAGCUAGUUGGUGGGGUAACGGCUCACCAAGGCGACGAUACAUAGCCGACCUGAGAGGGUGAUCGGCCACACUGGGACUGGGACACGGCCCAGACUCCUACGGGAAGCAGCAGUAGGGAAUCUUCGGCAAUGGACGGAAGUCUGACCGAGCAACGCCGCGUGAGUGAAGAAGGGUUUCGGAUCGUAAAGCUCUGUUGUAAGAGAAGAACGAGUGUGAGAGUGGAAAGUUCACACUGUGACGGUAUCUUACCAGAAAGGGACGGCUAACUACGUG